rnacentral:rRNA from 1 species
AACGUAGGAGGCGAGCGUUAUCCGGAUUUACUGGGCGUAAAGCGUGUGUAGGCGGUACGGCAAGUUGGAUGUGAAAGCUCCUGGCUUAACUAGGAGAGGUCGUUCAAAACUACCGAACUAGAGUUUAUCAGAGGAAGAUGGAAUUCCCGGUGUAGUGGUGAAAUGCGUAGAUAUCGGGAGGAACACCAGUGGCGAAAGCGAUCUUCUGGGAUAAUACUGACGCUCAGACACGAAAGCUAGGGUAGCGAACGGG